CCGCUCUUUGUGCUUUUUGACUUUUUCUUUCAUUUUAUGUUCAGCCUAAUCUCCAAGUGCACUUGCAUUUGUCCAAGCAAAAGACCAGGCUCCCCAAAGACCGAUAUCCUAGCCUCUUGGAGAGAGAACACGGCAAAAAGAUGCAAGAAAAGAAGAGAAAAGCUUACAGCACCUGGUAUUCCCAGGCGGUCUCCCAUCCAAGUACUAACCAGGCCCGACCCUGCUUAGCUUCCGAGAUCGGACGAGAUCGGGCGUGUUCAGGGUGGUAUGGCCGUAAGCGAUGACACAGGCUCCAAAUGAGCUAUUUGAACAUGCUCCUGUGUGCUUCUCUCAAUUAGAAUCAGCAUUUCACUUUCAGUGAACAAUGCGGCGCUCAAGAAAACACCCGGAUACGCAGUCAAGCUUAGUUUUACAGCCUAUCUCUGCAGUCCAUCAUGCUCCACUCCUUUGCUCCACUUUAGGACAAGAUCUCAGUCCUCCCGCUCUUUGUGCUUUUUGACUUUUUCUUUCAUUUUAUGUUCAGCCUAAUCUCCAAGUGCACUUGCAUUUGUCCAAGCAAAAGACCAGGCUCCCCAAAGACCGAUAUCCUAGCCUCUUGGAGAGAGAACACGGCAAAAAGAUGCAAGAAAAGCUUACAGCACCUGGUAUUCCCAGGCGGUCUCCCAUCCAAGUACUAACCAGGCCCGACCCUGCUUAGCUUCCGAGAUCGGACGAGAUCGGGCGUGUUCAGGGUGGUAUGGCCGUAAGCGAUGACACAGGCUCCAAAUGAGCUAUUUGAACAUGCUCCUGUGUGCUUCUCUCAAUUAGAAUCAGCAUUUCACUUUCAGUGAACAAUGCGGCGCUCAAGAAAACACCCGGAUACGCAGUCAAGCUUAGUUUUACAGCCUAUCUCUGCAGUCCAUCAUGCUCCACUCCUUUGCUCCACUUUAGGACAAGAUCUCAGUCCUCCCGCUCUUUGUGCUUUUUGACUUUUUCUUUCAUUUUAUGUUCAGCCUAAUCUCCAAGUGCACUUGCAUUUGUCCAAGCAAAAGACCAGGCUCCCCAAAGACCGAUAUCCUAGCCUCUUGGAGAGAGAACACGGCAAAAAGACGCAAGAAAAGAAGAGAAAAGCUUACAGCACCUGGUAUUCCCAGGCGGUCUCCCAUCCAAGUACUAACCAGGCCCGACCCUGCUUAGCUUCCGAGAUCGGACGAGAUCGGGCGUGUUCAGGGUGGUAUGGCCGUAAGCGAUGACACAGGCUCCAAAUGAGCUAUUUGAACAUGCUCCUGUGUGCUUCUCUCAAUUAGAAUCAGCAUUUCACUUUCAGUGAACAAUGCGGCGCUCAAGAAAACACCCGGAUACGCAGUCAAGCUUAGUUUUACAGCCUAUCUCUGCAGUCCAUCAUGCUCCACUCCUUUGCUCCACUUUAGGACAAGAUCUCAGUCCUCCCGCUCUUUGUGCUUUUUGACUUUUUCUUUCAUUUUAUGUUCAGCCUAAUCUCCAAGUGCACUUGCAUUUGUCCAAGCAAAAGACCAGGCUCCCCAAAGACCGAUAUCCUAGCCUCUUGGAGAGAGAACACGGCAAAAAGAUGCAAGAAAAGAAGAGAAAAGCUUACAGCACCUGGUAUUCCCAGGCGGUCUCCCAUCCAAGUACUAACCAGGCCCGACCCUGCUUAGCUUCCGAGAUCGGACGAGAUCGGGCGUGUUCAGGGUGGUAUGGCCGUAAGCGAUGACACAGGCUCCAAAUGAGCUAUUUGAACAUGCUCCUGUGUGCUUCUCUCAAUUAGAAUCAGCAUUUCACUUUCAGUGAACAAUGCGGCGCUCAAGAAAACACCCGGAUACGCAGUCAAGCUUAGUUUUACAGCCUAUCUCUGCAGUCCAUCAUGCUCCACUCCUUUGCUCCACUUUAGGACAAGAUCUCAGUCCUCCCGCUCUUUGUGCUUUUUGACUUUUUCUUUCAUUUUAUGUUCAGCCUAAUCUCCAAGUGCACUUGCAUUUGUCCAAGCAAAAGACCAGGCUCCCCAAAGACCGAUAUCCUAGCCUCUUGGAGAGAGAACACGGCAAAAAGAUGCAAGAAAAGAAGAGAAAAGCUUACAGCACCUGGUAUUCCCAGGCGGUCUCCCAUCCAAGUACUAACCAGGCCCGACCCUGCUUAGCUUCCGAGAUCGGACGAGAUCGGGCGUGUUCAGGGUGGUAUGGCCGUAAGCGAUGACACAGGCUCCAAAUGAGCUAUUUGAACAUGCUCCUGUGUGCUUCUCUCAAUUAGAAUCAGCAUUUCACUUUCAGUGAACAAUGCGGCGCUCAAGAAAACACCCGGAUACGCAGUCAAGCUUAGUUUUACAGCCUAUCUCUGCAGUCCAUCAUGCUCCACUCCUUUGCUCCACUUUAGGACAAGAUCUCAGUCCUCCCGCUCUUUGUGCUUUUUGACUUUUUCUUUCAUUUUAUGUUCAGCCUAAUCUCCAAGUGCACUUGCAUUUGUCCAAGCAAAAGACCAGGCUCCCCAAAGACCGAUAUCCUAGCCUCUUGGAGAGAGAACACGGCAAAAAGAUGCAAGAAAAGAAGAGAAAAGCUUACAGCACCUGGUAUUCCCAGGCGGUCUCCCAUCCAAGUACUAACCAGGCCCGACCCUGCUUAGCUUCCGAGAUCGGACGAGAUCGGGCGUGUUCAGGGUGGUAUGGCCGUAAGCGAUGACACAGGCUCCAAAUGAGCUAUUUGAACAUGCUCCUGUGUGCUUCUCUCAAUUAGAAUCAGCAUUUCACUUUCAGUGAACAAUGCGGCGCUCAAGAAAACACCCGGAUACGCAGUCAAGCUUAGUUUUACAGCCUAUCUCUGCAGUCCAUCAUGCUCCACUCCUUUGCUCUUUGUGCUUUUCGACUUUUUCUUUCAUUUUAUGUUCAGCCUAAUCUCCAAGUGCACUUGCAUUUGUCCAAGCAAAAGACCAGGCUCCCCAAAGACCGAUAUCCUAGCCUCUUGGAGAGAGAACACGGCAAAAAGAUGCAAGAAAAGAAGAGAAAAGCUUACAGCACCUGGUAUUCCCAGGCGGUCUCCCAUCCAAGUACUAACCAGGCCCGACCCUGCUUAGCUUCCGAGAUCGGACGAGAUCGGGCGUGUUCAGGGUGGUAUGGCCGUAAGCGAUGACACAGGCUCCAAAUGAGCUAUUUGAACAUGCUCCUGUGUGCUUCUCUCAAUUAGAAUCAGCAUUUCACUUUCAGUGAACAAUGCGGCGCUCAAGAAAACACCCGGAUACGCAGUCAAGCUUAGUUUUACAGCCUAUCUCUGCAGUCCAUCAUGCUCCACUCCUUUGCUCCACUUUAGGACAAGAUCUCAGUCCUCCCGCUCUUUGUGCUUUUUGACUUUUUCUUUCAUUUUAUGUUCAGCCUAAUCUCCAAGUGCACUUGCAUUUGUCCAAGCAAAAGACCAGGCUCCCCAAAGACCGAUAUCCUAGCCUCUUGGAGAGAGAACACGGCAAAAAGAUGCAAGAAAAGAAGAGAAAAGCUUACAGCACCUGGUAUUCCCAGGCGGUCUCCCAUCCAAGUACUAACCAGGCCCGACCCUGCUUAGCUUCCGAGAUCGGACGAGGUCGGGCGUGUUCAGGGUGGUAUGGCCGUAAGCGAUGACACAGGCUCCAAAUGAGCUAUUUGAACAUGCUCCUGUGUGCUUCUCUCAAUUAGAAUCAGCAUUUCACUUUCAGUGAACAAUGCGGCGCUCAAGAAAACACCCGGAUACGCAGUCAAGCUUAGUUUUGCAGCCUAUCUCUGCAGUCCAUCAUGCUCCACUCCUUUGCUCCACUUUAGGACAAGAUCUCAGUCCUCCCGCUCUUUGUGCUUUUUGACUUUUUCUUUCAUUUUAUGUUCAGCCUAAUCUCCAAGUGCACUUGCAUUUGUCCAAGCAAAAGACCAGGCUCCCCAAAGACCGAUAUCCUAGCCUCUUGGAGAGAGAACACGGCAAAAAGAUGCAAGAAAAGAAGAGAAAAGCUUACAGCACCUGGUAUUCCCAGGCGGUCUCCCAUCCAAGUACUAACCAGGCCCGACCCUGCUUAGCUUCCGAGAUCGGACGAGGUCGGGCGUGUUCAGGGUGGUAUGGCCGUAAGCGAUGACACAGGCUCCAAAUGAGCUAUUUGAACAUGCUCCUGUGUGCUUCUCUCAAUUAGAAUCAGCAUUUCACUUUCAGUGAACAAUGCGGCGCUCAAGAAAACACCCGGAUACGCAGUCAAGCUUAGUUUUACAGCCUAUCUCUGCAGUCCAUCAUGCUCCACUCCUUUGCUCCACUUUAGGACAAGAUCUCAGUCCUCCCGCUCUUUGUGCUUUUCGACUUUUUCUUUCAUUUUAUGUUCAGCCUAAUCUCCAAGUGCACUUGCAUUUGUCCAAGCAAAAGACCAGGCUCCCCAAAGACCGAUAUCCUAGCCUCUUGGAGAGAGAACACGGCAAAAAGAUGCAAGAAAAGAAGAGAAAAGCUUACAGCACCUGGUAUUCCCAGGCGGUCUCCCAUCCAAGUACUAACCAGGCCCGACCCUGCUUAGCUUCCGAGAUCGGACGAGAUCGGGCGUGUUCAGGGUGGUAUGGCCGUAAGCGAUGACACAGGCUCCAAAUGAGCUAUUUGAACAUGCUCCUGUGUGCUUCUCUCAAUUAGAAUCAGCAUUUCACUUUCAGUGAACAAUGCGGCGCUCAAGAAAACACCCGGAUACGCAGUCAAGCUUAGUUUUACAGCCUAUCUCUGCAGUCCAUCAUGCUCCACUCCUUUGCUCCACUUUAGGACAAGAUCUCAGUCCUCCCGCUCUUUGUGCUUUUUGACUUUUUCUUUCAUUUUAUGUUCAGCCUAAUCUCCAAGUGCACUUGCAUUUGUCCAAGCAAAAGACCAGGCUCCCCAAAGACCGAUAUCCUAGCCUCUUGGAGAGAGAACACGGCAAAAAGAUGCAAGAAAAGAAGAGAAAAGCUUACAGCACCUGGUAUUCCCAGGCGGUCUCCCAUCCAAGUACUAACCAGGCCCGACCCUGCUUAGCUUCCGAGAUCGGACGAGAUCGGG